GCGGGUAUAGUUUAGUGGUAGAACGCGACCUUGCCAUGGUUGAGACGGGAGUUCGAUUCUCCCUACCCGCACCA
rnacentral:tRNA from 2 species